rnacentral:rRNA from 1 species
AUUGCACGCUGGCGGCAGGCCUAACACAUGCAAGUCGAACGCGUGGCGGGCGGGUGUGUAAUUUCUGGGAACCUGCCCGAUGGAGGGGGAUCCCUAGUGGACACGGUCUCUAAUCCCACAUUCCAUCGUGUGUGCCCAGAUGGGAUUAGCUAGUAGGUGGGGUAAUGGCUCACCUAGGCGACGAUCCCUAGCUGGUCUGAGAGGAUGACCAGCCACACUGGAACUGAGACACGGUCCAGACUCCUACGGGAGGCAGCAGUGGGGAAUAUUGCACAAUGGGCGCAAGCCUGAUGCAGCCAUGCCGCGUGUAUGAAGAAGGCCUUAGGGUUGUAAAGUACUUUCAGUGAGGAGGCGUUACUGGCAGAAGAAGCACCGGCUAACUCCGUGCCAGCAGCCGCGGUAAUAC